rnacentral:rRNA from 1 species
GAUGAACGCUGGCGGCGUGCCUAAUACAUGCAAGUCGAACGCAUUGUGGUUGAAAUGAUAUGAAGAACUUGUUCAGAUUUGAUUUUCAACAUUGCAAUGAGUGGCGAACGGGUGAGUAACACGUGGGAAACCUACCUCUUAGCAGGGGAUAACAUUUGGAAACAAAUGCUAAUACCGUAUAAUAAUUAAAACCGCAUGGUUUUAGUUUAAAAGAUGGUCUUGCUAUCACUAAGAGAUGGUCCCGCGGUGUAUUGGUUAGUUGGUGAGGUAAUGGCUCACCAAGACAAUGAUACAUAGCCGAGUUGAGAGACUGACCGGCCACAAUGGGACUGAGACACGGCCCAUACUCCUACGGGAGGCAGCAGUAGGGAAUCUUCCACAAUGGACGAAAGUCUGAUGGAGCAACGCCGCGUGUGUGAUGAAGGGUUUCGGCUCGUAAAACACUAGUUGUAAGAGAAGAAUGACAUUGAGAGUAACUGUUCAAUGUGUGACGGU